GCCAUUUUGCCUCUUAGUGCUCAUGCUUGAGCCCGCUUGCCCAACUCCUGAGAUGUCAUCGGGAAGCUGCUGAUCAGCAAUUACAGCACCACCUGUCUUCCACAUUAUGAUGCGAAGCUGAAGAUUCACCCCACUAGGUCAAUGGGGACACUAAUUGGGGAAUAUUUGAGGUGCAGAGAGGAGAACACAGCAAGCAGUCACCGUCUAUGAACUAGAAAGCUGAUUCACCAGACACCGAAUCUGCCAGCACCUUGGUCUUGGACUUCCCAGCCUCCAGAACUAGGAAAUGUUCCAACACAUCUGAGGAAACACAUGCCUUCCCAGACUGGCCUGUUGCUGUUUCCCAGGAGCUGCAUUCUGGAAGGUGGACCAUCAGGUGGAAGAAGUAUUCUUCAGAGAGCUGCCUUCCCAAGGGAAUGGUGACAGCUUGCGCUUGCCGGGGAGUCCUGCUGCCUUCCGAGGUGUGAAGGGAAGGCAUGCACUGUGCAUAUGCUGUACCAUACAGUUUUGCCUACAACUGCUUGUAGCUUCAUUGUAGCUGUGAAUGCUCCGUUCCUCUCCUUUUCACCCCUGAAGAUUCGCGAACAUGCAGGAUUGAGCUGUGCGAGGCAUAGCAUUCCCCACAUGGUAGACGAAGGCGGAUGUGGGUCUGAUGGCUCUACUGCCGUCCACCCGGGAGGAUGGACGUGUGUUCCGGGAUAUCAGAGCUUGCGGCUGACCAGCCCACAUGUCCAUGCAGCCCUCCCGCUGGCUGUGUCGACAUUUUGGGUGUCACUGAAGGAUUUUACUGGUGCAGACUUUACAAAGGCAAAAUUGUUUCUCAAGGAAGUGGACAUGAAAGAUCUAAAAUCAGGGCUGCUUAAAAAAAGCAAGCACAGAUUAAUGACCUAUCUACAUCCUACACGGUUUUAGGACUGCGCCUAGAUGGGCUUAAAGACCCUAGCCUAAAAACUGUAAAUGUGCUUCCGUCUUUGCCCUGUAGGACAAGAAAGCCUUACGGGCUUGCUUCUAACUGUGAGAGGAGGAGAGGCCAGGAAGGGAGAGGGAGAAAAGGAGGAGAACAGGAGACGAGAAGGAGGGGAGAGUGAGGAGAGGAGGAGAGAGGCUUGUCAAAAUCUUUUUAGUGCACAAAACUAAUUUUGUUCAUCUUGGAUUUGGUGAGCUGGGUAAUAUUCUGUGCACGGCUCCUAAAUGAAUUAUUAAAUGUCAACUCAAGAUGGCUUAACUAAAAUACUCAAUUUAAUAACCAAAAGUAUCUAAGGUAACAACAACAAUUUUGCAGGUGAUUGUAGAGUUGUCAAGUCAAACCAUUAUAGACAAGCAUUUGGGGUUUUCACAUAAUCUCCUUCCACAUCUCAUCUUCUGUCACUAAAUACCCACUCUGGUGAGCAUAUUCCAUUUCAAUAAAGAUCAUCGCUUCGGUGCCAGCUUCUUUUUAUUCAGAUCGAGCCAGAAAACCUUUUUUUUUUUUCUAAAAUAUAAAGCAAAACAAGAUCUCAGUCACAACCACCAAAUCUUUAUUAAUGCAUUCCUUGUGCUACUUCUGAAUAUUAAUAAAAAUUAAUAAUUAAUUUUGCCUUUGGCAUUGCAAGAUAUACUAGUUUUAAUUAGUGUACUGUACUCCUAUACAAUUAAAAAAUAAUUGAUGUCCAUGC
rnacentral:lncRNA from 1 species